GCUGGAGGUGGGAAUGGGGUUAGCUGGGGCUGAGGGCUGGAGGUGGGAAUGGAGUUAGCUGGGGCUGAGGGCUGAGAGGUGGGAAUGGGGUUAGCUGGGGCUGUGGGCUGGGGGUGGGAAUGGGGUUAGCUGGGGACUGGGGGCUGGAGGUGGGAAUGGAGUUAGCUGGGGCUGGGGGCUGGAGGUGGGAAUGGAGUUAGCUGGGGCUGAGGGCUGGAGGUGGGAAUGGAGUUAGCUGGGGCUGAGGGCUGAGAGGUGGGAAUGGAGUUCGCUGGGGCUGAUGGCUGAGAGGUGGGAAUGGAGUUAGCUGGGGCUGAGGGCUGGAGGUGGGAAUGGAGUUAACUGGGGCUGAGGAUUGAGAGGUGGGAAUGGAGUUAGCUGGGGCUGAGGAUUGAGAGGUGGGAAUGGAGUUAGCUGGGGCUGAGGGCUGGAGGUGGGAAUGGAGUUAGCUGGGGCUGAGGGCUGGAGGUGGGAAUGGAGUUAGCUGGGGCUGAGGGUUGAGAGGUGGGAAUGGGGUUAGCUGGGGCUGAGGGCUGAGA
ensembl:lncRNA